CUGAUCUCUGUGUUAUAUUUGUUUCUUUUGUUAUAAUUGAUUUGAUAGAUAAAUAAUCUCAUAAGCAUCACCAGAGCUCAUAGUUUAAAUCUUGCAAAAUAGAAAUUUCAUUCAAAAUUCCUCCUAGCAAAAAAAUUCGUAAGAGUCGUACCUUUAGUGCAUCCCUGAAUGUUUACAAAAUCCUCCAGUCUGGUCCUCGUCUGGACAUUUGCCAUGGAGACUGACAUCAAAGGAGCCCCGCUUACAUGGAAAAAUAUAUCGAAUUGUCCCCUCGAUAAUAGGGGCUGUAAGAUCACUUUAGAACGCGUUUGGUGGAAUGAGAUGCCUCCCCCGGAUUUGGGGCAUUUUCCCCCAUUUCUUCUCCCUGUUCUCCUUCUCCACAGUUUGCCCACACUUUUUUCCCUCCUGGAUUUCUUCUCCGGUUGCCUCCCAAAAAUCCUCUAGAGCGGGAGAAAGGGACGACAGGGGUUACCCCCGUCCGUAGUCCGCUGUGGGUCCGCGUGGGAAGAAAUUACCCUAUGUGGCCCUCGAUCCUCUUCUUCCCCUUAGAUGGUCACGCAGUGGUCUCUCUCACAUGUUCACCAGUGUUCGAGUCCUCUCUCUCUCUCUCCUCUGUACGAAAUUGGGGGUGCUGAUUUGGGUAAGAAGAACCAGGGAAUGGAUUAAUUUUACUUGGGCAAAUUAACACUGACCUCCCCUUAGGUUAUGGGAUUAACCACAAAAAACCCUGAACUUUAAAGAUUAUAAUUACCAACCUCCCCUAAAGUUUAAAACUUGUAAUAGAUUCCCUUUAUUUUAACUCAAAAAAAUAAUUUUAAUUAUAUAUUAAUGAUUAAUAUUUUAUUUUUACUUGAUGUUGAUUUUAAUUUUUUUUUAUUAUUUAUUUAUUUAGUUAUUUAUUUAUUUAGUCAAAGUAAAAAUAUUUUCUAAACUACAAGGACCUUUUGGGUUUGGGUUUACAUAUUUUGGUGUGUUUUGAGUUUUUCUUCAAAUACUUUUUAUGUUUAUUUUUUAUAGUAUUUUUUAUUAUCAACAAACCCAUUGAAAACAAAAUUAAAAAUUAAAAAUCUUGAAUCAAAGUUAAAAAUAAAUUAUCCACAGUCUUUUAGCUUAUUUUUCUAAAAUUAAAGACUUGUUUCAAUCUUUUACUAUUUUUUUCUAUUUUUUUGGUUGUCAAUUUUUUUAAAAUUUUAAUUUUGGAUCAUUUACCCAAAAAAUUCAUAUACAUUUUGAAAUUAUAUAUUAAUAUUAAAUUAAUUUUUUUAUUUUAUGCAUCUAACUAUUAAUUAAAGAUAAUUUUAUCUAUUAAACGAAUUAUAUUUAAUAUUAACACUAAUUAUGAAGUGGGGGUAAUUUUGUCUUUUCACAUCUUAUUCUAUAUCAUCUCCAACAUCUAAUCCCCUUUUUUUCAAAACACAAUGCCAACACCAAACUAUAAAAUCAAAACCCUUCUUAAAGGUGGGGGCCCCCCUUAUUAUAAAUCCUCCCUCAUUUUAAAUCCCUCCUCAAAAAAUCCUCCCUCAUUUUAAAUCCACCUAAAAUAUCAUGCUCCUGCUGCCAAACGGGUGUUUUAUAGAAUUCUGGAUUUCUACCGAGACCCUGCAGUAUGAACGUUUUUUGAAUAAGUUCUUCUCUGGUCCGAUUCCCUUUUGAUCGAUAACUGUUUGCCCUGCAGCGCGAGUAAGCCAAUGGAACCAAAGAUGUAAUAAGUUAACUAUCCGUCCUCUGAAUAAAAACUUACAAAGCAAACUAGACAAUUAGCAGCUAUUUAAAAACAUUUUAAACGCAAAGUCAUUGCAAAUGAGGGAUGUUUUAUUAAAAGUCAAAAUUAAAAUAUAGCCUGUAAUUUUCUAGCAUUUCACUUCCUAUGCUUGGCUAUGUAAACAUUUUUUAUUUUUAUUCUUUUUAAAAUUUUUUCCUUUUCUUCUUUUUUGAUUUCCUUUUUUUUCUUUUUGUUACUUGUUUUUUUACUCAGUUUUUUUUUCCCUUUUUUUCUAUUCUUCCUGUUCUAUAUUAUUUUUUGUUUUUUUUUCCUUUUUUCUUUCUUCUUGUCAAAUUCGAAAAAGGUAAAAAAAAAAAAAAAAAAACAAAUUUUUCAAAAUGUAAAAUAUAUCCUGUAAAUUUUCUAGCAUUUCACUUCCCAUGCUUGCUAGGUAAAACAUUUUUAUUUUUAUUCUUUUUUUAUUUUUUAACUUUUUUUUAACAUUUUUUUCUUUUUCUAUUUUAAUCCACUUUUUCUGUUUUUUCUUCUUUUUCUGAUUUCCUUUUUCUCUCUCUUUUUCUUUCUUUUUUUCUUUUUUCUUACUGUUUUUUCUGUUUUUCUGCUUUUUUUAUAUUUUCCUGUUAUAUACAUAUUUUCUAUUUUUUUUGUUUUUAAGUCAUUUUCUUUUUUUUCUUUUUAAUGGUUUUUUUUUUCUUAUUUUAUCACUUUUUCUGUUUUCUUUUUUUUCGGUUUAUAUAAAAAUAUUUUGUUAUCUUUUUUUUCUUUUAUAGUUUUUUCUAUUUUUAUCUAAAUUUUUUGCCUUUAAUUUUCAUUUGUUUUUUUUUUAUGUUUUUUUUUCAUGUUUUUUAAUAUUUUUCCUAUUCUCUUUUUUUUUAAUACAGUUUUUAUCUAUUUAUAUAUAUAUUUUAUGUUAUCUUUUUUUUUUUUGGGUUUUCCUUUCUUUCUUUUUUCAUAUUCUUUUUUAUUGUUUCCAUUUAUUCGCUGUUUUUAUUUUUUAUUUUUAAUCCUAACUUUUUCCUACUUUUCUAUUCUUCCUCUUCCUUUCUUAUUUUUUUCUGUUUCUUUUCAUUUUUUUCUGUUUUUUAUCUUAUUUUUCUGUUUAUGAAUAAUUUUUUAUAUUUGUACCUAAUUAUUUUUUUAAAAAUUCAAAUAUUUUUUUCUAUUUUUUCUUUUCUGCUUCUUUUUUUUUCUUGCCUUAUUUCCUGUUUUUAUUAUUUUUAUUUUAUCUACUUUUUUUGCAAUUUCUUUCUGUUUUUUGUUUUUAAUUUCAUUUUUUUAUGUUUAUCUUUUUUGUUUUAAUUUCAUUUUUCUUUUUUCCUUUUUUCCUUCUUGAUUUAUUUUUUUCUCUUUUCUCUUUUUAUUAUUUUUUCUUUGCUUGUUUUUUUUUCUGUUUUUUCUGGUUUAAAAACAUUUUUUUUUUGCUAUUUUUUUUAAGGUUUCCCUAUUUUUUGUCUAAUAUUUGUCAGUUUUUCUUUUUCUUCUGUUUUCCUCCUAUUUUUUUGUUUUUGAAUUUACAUUUUCUUUUUUAUAGUUUAUCUUUUUUUGAAUUAAUUUUAUUUUUCACAAUAUUUUCUUUUCCUUUUUCCCGGUUUUUAUUUUCUUUUUUUCUAGUUUUUAUAUUUUUUCUUUUCUUAUUUUUUUGUUACUUUUUUUAUUUUCUAUAUUUUUCAUUUUAUUAUUUUAUAUAUUAUAAUAUAUAUAAAAAAUAUAUAUAUUGUUUUAUUUCCUUUUUUAUCCUUUUCUUUUUUUACUUUCAUUUUGUAUUUUUGGUUUCUCCCAAUUUUUAUUUCUUUUUUAAUUUCUCUUUUCUGUUUUUAAUUUUUUUACAGUUUUUUCUAUUUUUUUUCUUUUUUUUGGCCUUUUAAUUAGUUUAUCUUUUUUGAUUUUAAUUUUUUUUUUGAAUAUUUCUGUUUUCUAAUUUUUGAUUUUUUUGUAUAUUUUAACUAUUUUAGACUUUCUCUGUAUUUAUUUUUUCUUUUUAUAUAUAUAAAUAUGUUUAAUGUUAUCUCUUUUUCCCCCUUUUUUAUGUAAAUAUCUUAUUUUUUACUGUUUUGUACUAUUUUUUUCUUUUCUAUAUAUUCUAUUUAUACAUAUUGUUAUCUCUUUUUUUAUCUAAUUUUUUUUCACUUUUUCGUUUUGUUUAUGUUUUUCUUUGUUUUACUUUUUUUCUGUUUUUAAUUAUUUAAUAAAAUUUUUCAAUUUUUUUUUUGAUUUUUGUUUUUAAUUUUAUUUUUUUAUGUUUAUCUUUGGGGGGGGUGUGGUUUGGUUGGGAAAUUUCAUUUCUCUUUUUUCCUUCUUUCUUGUUUUAUUUUUUUCUCUUUUCUCUUUUUAUUAUGUUUUUCUUUGCUUAUUUUUUUUUCUGUUUUUUAUUUUUUAUCAUUUUUUUGCUAUUUUUUUCAGGUUUCCCUAUUUUUUUCUAAUUUUUUUCAGUUUUCUUUUUCUUCUUUUUUCCUAUUUUUUUGUUUUAAUUUUACAUUUUUCCCCUUUAUUUAGUUUAUCUUUUUUUGAUUUAAUUUUAUUUUUUAAUAUUUUCUUUUCCUUUUUCCCGUUUAUAUUUUUUACUUAUUUCCCUUUUCUUUUUUUUUUAUAUAAUAUAUAUAAUAUUUUUGGUUAUAUAUUUUUUAAACUUUUUUCCUUUUUUUUUCUAUUCUUCUGAUUUUUUUUCUUUGUUUUUCUUUCCCUUAUUUUUUAACCUCCUUUUCCCUCUUUUUCCCCUUGUUUUUAUGUCUUUUUUUGUUUGAUUUUUUUUCAUAUUUUAACUAUUUUAUACUUUUUCUAUUUUUUAUUUUUUCUAUUUAUACAUAAAUAUAUUUAAAGUUAUUUUUUCCCUUUUUUAUCUACUUUUUUUUAUUAGUUUACAUUUUUUUUACUACUUUUUUUUCUUUUCUAGAUAUUCUAUUUAUACAUAUAUUGUUAUUUUUUUUUCUUUUAUUGUUCUUUUCUAUAUAUACAUUUUUUUUCCUUUUAUUCUCAUCGAUUUUUCUGUUUUUAUAUAUAACGUAUAAUAUUUUUAUUGUAUUAUUUUUUUUCUAUGUAUAAUUUUUUUUUUGAGUUUUUCUUUGUUUUUUCCUUUUUUUUCCUUUUUCCCUUAUUUUCCCCAUUUUUAUCUUUUUUUUUCUUUCUCUUUUUCAAUUUUUAACAUUUUUUUUCUUUAUUUUUUUAUUUUCUUUAUUUUUGUUUUUUUUCUAUUUUUUCCCUACUUUUCUUAUUUUUUCCGUGUUUUAGUUUUAUAUUUUUUUGUUUUAAUUUUUAGUUUUGAAUAUUUAUUUUUUAUUUUUUUCCUGUUUUUAAUUGUUUUUUGAAUUUUGAAUAUGUUUCAUAUUUUAACUUAUUUAGAAUUUUUUGUUUUUUAUUUUUUAUGUUUAUGUAUAAAUAUAUUUAAUGGUGUCUACUUUAAUUUACCUUUUCUUUUUGUAUAAAAUAUAUAUAAUAUUUUGUGUUAUAUUAUUUUUUAACUUUUUUCCCUUUUUUCUGAGUUUUUCCCUUUUUCCCCUUGUUUUUAUGUCUUUUUUGUUUUUUUCUUCUUUUAAUUUCUCUUUUCUGUUUUUUUAGCUAAUUUUUUUCUCUUUUUUGUUUUUUAUGUUUUUCUUUGUUUUUAAUUUUAUAACUGUUUUUUUAUUUUCUUUUUUUAUCUAUUUUUUUCUGUUUUUCUUCCGCUUUUUUUGUCUUUAUUUAGUUUAUUUUUUUGUUUUAAUUUUUUUUGAAUAUUUACUUUUCCUUUUGAUUUUUUAUUCAUAUUUUAACUAUUUUUAGGACUUUUUAUAUUUAUAUUUGUUCUUUUUAUAAUAAUAAAUUUUAUUUUUUUCCCUUUUUUAUUGUUUACAUUUUUUUACCACUUUUUUUCCUUUUCUAUAUGAUUCUCUUGUAUAUAUAUAUUAUAUAUAUAUAUAUAUAUUUAUAUAUAUAAUAUAUUUCUUUAUUGGGUCUUUCUUUUCUAAUAUAUUAUGGUUUUUUUCCAUGUUUAUUUUUCAUUAAUUUUUCUAUUUUAUGUAUAAUGGAUAUAUUUUUAAUGUAUUGUUUUUCUUGUUUUCUUAUUUGUUUUCUUCUGUGUAUAAUAUAUUUCUGAGAUUUUCUUUGUUUUUUUCCUUUUUCCUCAUUUGCCUCCUUUUAUCUUUUUUUUUUUGUCUUUUUCAUUUUUUGUAACCAUUUUUUGGCUUUUUUUCUAUUUUUCUUUGUUUUCUUUCCCCCCUUCUCUUUUUUUUAAUCUCAUUUUUUUUCUAUUUUUUCUUCUUUUUUUUUUUUUCCCUUUUUUUAGUUAAUAUUUUCUUGUUUUAAUUUUAUUUUUGAAUAUUUACUUUUCCUUUUUUUCCUGUUUUUAAUUUUUUUUGAAUUUUUGAUUUUUUUCAUAUUUUAAUUUAUUUAGACUUUUUCUGUUUUUUUAUUAUUUUUUCUGUUUAUAGAUAAAUAUAUUUAAUGGUGUCUACUUUAAUUUCUCUUUUCUUUUUUUAUAAAAUAUAUAUAAUAUUUUGUGUUAUAUUUUUUUUUUAACUUUUUUGCCUUUUUUCUGAGUUUUUUCCUUUUUUUCCCUCUAUUUUUCCCUUGUUUUUAUGUCUUCUUUGUUUUUUUCUUCUUUUAAUUUCUCUUUUUUGUUUUUUAUGUUUUUCUUUGUUUUUUUUUCUGUUUUUAAUUUUUUAACUGUUUUUUGAUUUUUUGAUUUUCUUUUCUUUCUCUUUGUUUUUCCCACUUUUUUUUUUGUUUUUAAUAAUCUAUUUUUUUCUGUUUUUCUUCUUCUUUUUUUUUUCUUUUUUUUGUUUUAAUUUUAUUUUUGAAUAUUUACUUUUCCUUUUUUUUCUAUUUUAAAAUAUUUUUUGAAUUUUGAUUUGUUUAAUAUUUUAAACUAUGUUAGACUUUUUUCCCUUCUUUUUUUAUUUUUCUAUUUAUAUAUAAAUAUAUUUAAUGUUAUUUUUUUCUUUUCUAUCUUACUUUUUUUUUUCUUUUCUAUAUAUUCUAUUUAUAUAUAUAUUGUUAUUUGUUUUUCUUUUAUUGUUCUUUUCUAUAUAUACGGGUUUUUUUCUUUUAUUUUCAUCGAUUUUUCUAUUUUUAUAUAUAACGUAUAAUAUUUUUUUAUUGUAGUAAUUUUUUCUUCCUUUUUUUUUUUUCCAUUUCCUUUUGUUUUUUUCUGUGUAUAUAUUUUUGAGUUUUUUUCUUUGUUUUUGAGUUUUUUUUUUUUUUUCCUUUUUCCUUAUUUCCCCCCCUUUUUAUCUAUUUUUUUUCUCGUUUUUCAUUUUUUAAAAAACAAUUUUGUUGCUUUUUUUAUUUUAUUUGUUUACCUUUUUUUUGUUUUUAUCUAUUUUUUUCUAUUUUGCUUCUUUUUUCCGUGUUUUUAGUUUAUAUUUUUUUUGUUUUAAAUUUAUUUUCGAAUAUUUACUUUUCCUUUUUUUCCUUUUUUUAUUUUAUUUUUGAAUUUUUGAUUUUUUCAUAUUUUAACUUAUUUAGACUUUUUCUGUUUUUUAUUUUUUUAUUUUAUAUAUAAAUAUAUUUAAUGGUGUCUACUUUAAUUUUUCUUUUCUUUUUUUAUAUAAUAUAUAUAAUGUUUUUUGUUAUAUUAUUUUUUAACUGUUUUUCCUUUUUUCUGAGUUUUUCUUUAUUUUUCCCCUUUUACCCCUCUUUUUAUCUAUUUUUUUUCCUUUUUCUAUGUAUACGAAGUCAUUUUUCUUACAUUUUGGGCUGAAACUAGUUAACUUCGUUAACCCUAGAUAAACAUAGAUUAACAGAUAGUUUAAAUUGUUACUAGAUUAAAAUUAUAUAGUUUGAUUUGUUACAAUUGAAAAUAUAGA
rnacentral:lncRNA from 1 species